rnacentral:misc_RNA from 1 species
AACGCAUCCAAGCAAUUGGUAUCCGAUUAAAACAUAGAAAGCAUAGAUUCGCGUCGCCUACUUGCUGAAAGCACAAAUGGAAUGGCUGAUCAUUUCUUGUAUGAAGUUUUUAAGACCUCACUAAUCAGCCUUACACUUUUUAGUUCAUAAUGAAUGAAAUGAACCCCCAGAUGAAGAGAAAAUCUCCCCUCCCUUUUACUAAACCAUGGGGAGCCCCGAGUAGUUUACCGGGCAAAUUUAGUUGUCGUGACGAUAUCUUUCUUAGUGGAAGAUCGGAAAAGACUUCUCUUCAUCACGAGACUGAUCGGAUCUGCCGUAGACGCCCGAGACCUCCACAAGGCAGGCUAAAAGAGUAAGAGGACAACAAGAGCAAAGAGUUAUGCUUUCAUUUCUUUGUUGAGAUUUCAAUUCGGCACUCGGUUCCUUCGUCUUAAGUAAAGUGAAGUUUACUUUUUCGAUUUUGAAUUCUUAGUCGAGCUGAUGGCGAGAUCGAUUUUUUGGUCGAGGUUCAAGAGAAAAGAGAGGAACCACCGCCCAAUGGUGCUUUUACGAAAGUACGGUCGCCGGUGGCUAAUACCUUCUCGACACUAUCGAACCCGAAAUCCACUCUCAAUCGCUCUUUUUAGUGGGGAGGAAUAGUGCGUGAAUGGCGGUUCUCAGACGAGGGAAUCAUUCCUCUCUAAAUAAAAAUAGGCUAGAAUGCUUCUAUUGAUAGAACUUUAACGUCUGCGCAUAGAAUCGUUUUUUUGCCUUUCUAUUCCGUUCUUACCGGCAGUUGGAUCGGAAUCCGUGUGAUGGUUCUAGAGUGGUUUCAAAUAUUCUUCGCAUCCAUCUUCGGCCUUGUGUUAGAAGUCCCGCGGGACUGAGUUAGUGGUCGAGUCGUUUUUGGUAAUUGACACCCGUCGCAUUAGUUUCAAUUCAUAUGUUACCAUUCAUAGUGAAGUAGCCCUCUUUUUGAUGUCUGAGUGCCUUAUUCUAUCUAUCAAAGUCCUUCUUUGUCUAUAGCUCGGGUCAGUCCCCCAUGGUCCGCUUUGAUUUUCUCGAACAGUUCCGGUCUGCAUCAGGGACUCUCGUGCGAGCCAUGCAACGUUCCCAGGCAGAAACUGCUCCUUUCCUUGAGCUCCCUAUUUAGUUCCUCCCAGGCGUUGAUCUCGCAACGGCCCUCCAGCACGUCCUCAUAUCGCGUCCGCCACCACAGCUUCGCAUCCCCAGAGAGAUACAUUGUUGCCAUUGUGACUUGGUCGUCAAAAGGGGCACGAACAGCUUUAAUUAAAGUACUGUUCCAUGUCCCAGAGGUCUUCGAGCCUUGGCAUUUCGAAUCCCGUUGAAUGGCUGUGGUUCCAGGACUCAAAUGCGUCUGGAGUCGCCAGGUGAAACAUUCGGUUCACAAACCGGAGACCUAUCUCCACAUAAAAAUGCCUCAAUUUGACCUGGUCCGUCACGCUUUGGACAUCGCCACCGGGAUCGUUGAGGCCCCAUGAAGACGGCUCUCCUUCACUGGGAAGACGCGGUACUCAUUAGCGAGCGUCUGGUGACCAACGAUUCCUGAUUCUCCUGCCUUUCUGCCAUAGUCUACACUUGUCCGCCCAAAUGGUCGACCUUGCCAUCAAGUUGGGUCACUCGAUCCUUGAGUGUUUCCUUAGCAACAGCCGUCGCAGACAGCGCUCCACUGCUAUCGUCAAGCUUGGACAUGGUGCAACAAGAAAGAGAAUUAGCAGAAAUCGAAAGCCCAAAACUCCGCUCUGAUACCUCCUAAAGCGAAAUAGACACGCGCACGGGUAGAGAGUCUGUCUGAGUCGUGCGGCCCCAGGUGCUACACUACAAUAGGCGUUACCUGGAUUCUCUCCUUGCCGAAUUUCGCUUCUGAUCUUUCUCUGAGUCUCUAUUUCGUUACCUUCUACUACCGAUCUGCUCCUGCUGCUCGCUUCGCUUGUUUCGUUAAGCUCGCUUUCUUUAAAGAAACUAAAAAAAAAGAGAAUAUGAAAAGCAGCCAAAUACUUUUAAAUAAGAGUAGUCAGGGAUGCUUCCAGCAAGAACUUAGACGGUAUGCGAUUGAUCAAGUAUGUUGCGGUCAACACAGCUUCUACCCAAACGAGGGGGCCUCAUAGCAGAACAAACAUCAUAGCUAUAAUCGUUUCCAAUAAGUAUCUAUUUUUCCUCUCAGCUAUUUCCAGAAGUAUACGCACAAGAUCUCUGAUGAACAGUGCCUCUGGAAAUAAGAUAUUGAGAGAAUUCCGUGGACAUGUAUUCUCCUCCGGAAUCAUAUCGUAAAAAAAUUUUUUUGCAUUGAAAAUAAUGUCUGGCUUGUCGAUUGUUCGUCCAGGGGAGGUGAAAAUUUGACGGUUCAUGCUGGCGAGAUCGCCUAUUUCUUUCCUCCUUCUUUCCUCACAUGAAUCAUGAAUGAGGGGGAGUAGCUUAAAAUAAAAGUCCCCAAGAACGGACUUGAUCAAUAUCAAUGCUUGGCUUGGCUUUUGGCGCUUGUGUUUUAUUUUUCCAAGAAGUCGUUUCUUCCAUCUAGGUUUGUGAGCUUACUUACUUGGAACUUCUAGUCGUCAGUCAAAG